rnacentral:tRNA from 1 species
GCCGGGGCUGGCAACCAGGUUGCCAUCCAAACUGAGCAUCUGGAGUCCCGUAAGGGAUUCGGGGUUCAAAUCCCCGCCCCGGCG